AUGUUCAUUGAAGAAAAGUGUCCUGAAUUUAUGUUUCAAGAUAUUCCAGAGUUUAGGCCGCGCACCAGAGGAGAUGGGCCCUGCAGUGGCACCUUCCUGACGCUGCUGCUCUUCGGCCUGCGCGCCUUCCUCUCGCUGGUCCUGGCACGCGGCGCUCAGCGGCCGGAAAGGCGACGUCGUGGACGUUUACCAGCGGGAGCUCCUGGCGCUGCAGGAUCGGUUGCACGCAGCUGAGCAGGAGAGCCUCAAGCGCUCCAAGGAGCUCAACCUGGUGCUGGAUGAGAUCAAGAGCGCCGUUUCGGAGAGGCAGGUGCUUCAAGAGGCAGAGGGCAAUCGCACCUGGGGCUGCCCAACAGAGGACCCCCAUUGAAGCCGUGGAACGGCUCACACCAGUAGGUGCUACACCUGCCCACUGUCUUCCAGCACCUACCACACCUGCUGGCCAAGGAGAGCCGUCUGCAGCCCGCGGUGCGCGUGGGCCACGGCCGCACCGGAGUGUCGGUAGUGAUGGGCAUCCCGAGCCUGCGGCGCGAGGUGCAGUCGUACCUGACUGACACUCUGCACUGGCUCAUCUCUGAGCUGAGCCCACAAGAGAAGGAGGACUCAGUCAUUGUGGUGCUGAUUGCUGAGACUGACCCACAGUACACUUCGGCAGUGACAGAAAACAUCAAAGCCUUGCUCCCCACCAAGAUCCAUUCUGGGCUCCUGGGGGUCAUCUCAUCCUGUUCCCACUUCUACCCUGACUUCUCCCGCCUCCAAGAGUCCUUUGCGGACCCCAAGGAGAGAGUCAGGUGGAGGACCAAACAGAACCUCCAUUACUGCUUCCUCGUGAUGUGCGUGCAGCCCAAAGGCAUCUACUACGUGCAGCUGGAGGACGACAUUGUGGUCAAGCCCAAUUACCUGAGCACCGUGAAGAACUUCGCACUGCAGCAGCCUUCGGAGGACUGGAUGAUCCUGGAGUUCUCCCAGCUGGGCUUCAUUGGGAAGAUGUUCAAGUCGUUAGACCUGAGCUUGAGUGUAGAGUUCAUCCUCGUGUUCUACCGAGACAAGCCCACCGACUGGCUCCUGGGCCAUAUUCUGUGGGUGAAAGUCUGCAACCCCGAGAAGGAUGCACUGUGACCGGCAGAAAGCCAACCUGCGGAUCCGCUUCAAGCCGUCCCUCUUCCAGCACGUGGGUACUCACUCCUCACUGGCUGGCAAGAUCCAGAAACUGAAGGACAAGGACUUUGGAAAGCAGGCACUGUGGAAGGAGCAUGUGAACCCACCAGCAGAGGUGAGCACAAGCCUGAAGACAUACCAGCACUUCACCCUGGAGAAAGCCUACCUGCGCGAGAACUUCCUCUGGGCCCUCACCUCCCCGCCGCGGGGGACUUCAUCCGCUUCCGCUUCUUCCAGCCUUUGCAACUGGAGUGGUUUUUCUUCCACAGUGGAAACACUGAGCACCUAGAGGACAAGCUCUUCAACACGCCUGUGGAGGUGCUGCCCUUUGAUAACCCUCAGUCGGACAAGGAGGCCCUGCAGGAGGGCGUCACCGCCACCCUCCAGUACCCUGGGAACCCCGACCGCUACCUCCAGAUCCGCUCCUUCUACAAGGGAGGGGCAGAGGGAGAGGUGGACCCAGGCUUCGACCCUCUGGAAGCUCUGCGCCUCUCCAUUGUCAUGGUGACGGGCUUCCUGGGGGCCAUCAAGGAAAGCAAGUGCCUCCUCCUCAGCUUUUUCAUCUUCCUGUUGGUCAUCCUCCUAGCACAGCUGAUCUUACUCAUCCUCUUCUUUGUCUACAUGGACCAGGUGAAUGAGAACGCCAAGGAGGACAUGAAGGAAGGCCUGCUGCUGUACCACAACGAGGAUAACUUGGGGAUGAAGAAUGCCUGGAAUAUCAUCCAGGCUGAGAUGCGAUGCUGUGGUGUCACGGACUACACUGACUGGUACCCAGUGCUGGGGGAGAACACGGUCCCCGACUGCUGCUGCAUGGAGAACCCCCAGGGCUGUGGGCGCCACGCCACCACUCCUGUGUGGGGAACGGGCUGCUAUGAGAAGGUGAAGAUGUGGUUCCAUGACAAUAAGCACGUGCUGGGCACAGUGGGGAUGUGCAUCCUCAUCAUGUACAUCCUGGGCAUGGCCUUCUCCAUGACCCUCUUCCAGCACAUCCACCAGACUGGUAAGAAGUACGACGCAUGA